rnacentral:RNase_P_RNA from 1 species
UGAGUGUGAAAGGCAAUCGCGGCGCCUGUUUCGUAAGAAAUAAGGCGGUGAGGAAAGUCCGAGCUCCAUAGGGCGGAAUGCCGGAUAACGUCCGGCGAGGGAAACCUUAGGGAUAGUGCCACAGAAAAGUGUACCGCCAGAGUAAUCUGGGAAGGGUGGAACGGUGCGGUAAGAGCGCACCAGCAAGUAAGUAAUUACUUGGCUUGGUAAACCCCAUUCGGAGUAAGACCAAAUAGGGAAGGGAUGAAGCGGCCCGCUGAACCUUCCGGGUUGUGUCGCUGUAUCUUGCGAG